CCUACGGGUGGCAGCAGUGAGGAAUAUUGGUCAAUGGGCGAGAGCCUGAACCAGCCAAGUAGCGUGAGGGAUGACUGCCCUACGGGUUGUAAACUUCUUUUGUAGGGGAGUAAAGUGCGGCACGUGUGCCUUUUUGUCUGUACUCUAUGAAUAAGGAUCGGCUAACUCCGUGCCAGCAGCCGCGGUAAUACGGAGGAUCCGAGCGUUAUCCGGAUUUAUUGGGUUUAAAGGGAGCGUAGAUGGGUGGGUAAGUCAGUCGUGAAAGUUUGCGGCUCAACCGUAACAUUGCCAUUGAUACUGGCAGUCUUGAGUACAGUUGAGGUAGGCGGAAUUCGUGGUGUAGCGGUGAAAUGCUUAGAUAUCACGAAGAACUCCGAUUGCGAAGGCAGCUUACUAACCUGCCACUGACAUUGAUGCUCGAAAGCGUGGGUAUCAAACAGGAUUAGAUACCCGUGUAGUC
rnacentral:rRNA from 1 species